CCCGCCUGGGGAGUACGGUCGCAAGACUAAAACUCAAAGGAAUUGACGGGGGCCCGCACAAGCGGCGGAGCAUGCGGAUUAAUUCGAUGCAACGCGAAGAACCUUACCAAGGCUUGACAUAUAGAGGAAAAGCGUAGAAAUACGCUCCCCGCAAGGUCUCUAUACAGGUGGUGCAUGGUUGUCGUCAGCUCGUGUCGUGAGAUGUUGGGUUAAGUCCCGCAACGAGCGCAACCCUCGUCCUAUGUUGCCAGCACGUAAUGGUGGGAACUCAUGGGAGACUGCCGGGGUCAACUCGGAGGAAGGUGGGGAUGACGUCAAAUCAUCAUGCCCCUUAUGUCUUGGGCUUCACGCAUGCUACAAUGGCCGGUACAAAGGGCUGCAAUACCGCAAGGUGGAGCGAAUCCCAUAAAGCCGGUCUCAGUUCGGAUUGGGGUCUGCAACUCGACCCCAUGAAGUCGGAGUCGCUAGUAAUCGUAGAUCAGCAACGCUACGGUGAAUACGUUCCCGGGCCUUGUACACACCGCCCGUCAAGUCACGAAAGUCGGUAACACCCGUAAGCCGGUGGCCUAACCGUAAGGAAGGAGUCGUCGAAGGUG
rnacentral:rRNA from 1 species